GAUGAACGCUGGCGGCGUGCCUAAUACAUGCAAGUCGAGCGAACUGAUUAGAAGCUUGCUUCUAUGACGUUAGCGGCGGACGGGUGAGUAACACGUGGGCAACCUGCCUGUAAGACUGGGAUAACUUCGGGAAACCGAAGCUAAUACCGGAUAGGAUCUUCUCCUUCAUGGGAGAUGAUUGAGAGAUGGUUUCGGCUAUCACUUACAGAUGGGCCCGCGGUGCAUUAGCUAGUUGGUGAGGUAACGGCUCACAAAGGCAACGAUGCAUAGCCGACCUGGGAGGGUGAUCGGCCACACUGGGACUGAGCCACGGCCCAGACUCCUACGGGAGGCAGCAGUAGGGAAUCUUCCGCAAUGGACGAAAGUCUGACGGAGCAACGCCGCGUGAGUGAUGAAGGCUUUCGGGUCGUAAAACUCUGUUGUUAGGGAAGAACAAGUACAAGAGUAACUGCUUGUACCUUGACGGUACCUAACCAGAAAGCCACGGCUAACUACGUGCCAGCCGCCGCCGUAAAAC
rnacentral:rRNA from 1 species